rnacentral:rRNA from 1 species
AUCGAACGCUGGCGGCAGGCUUAACACAUGCAAGUCGAGCGAGCGGCGGACGGGUGAGUAAUGUCUGGGAAACUGCCUGAUGGAGGGGGAUAACUAUUGGAAACGGUAGCUAUUACCGCUUACCAUCAGAUGUUCCCAGAUGGGCUUAGCUAGUAGGUGGGGUAAUGGCUCACUCGGGCGACGAUCCCUAGCUGGUCUGAGAGGAUGACCAGCCACACUGGAACUGAGGCACGGUCCAGACUCCGACGGGAGGCAGCGGUGGGGAAUAUUGCACAAUGGGCGCAAGCCUGAUAGAGCCAUGCCGCGUGUGUGAAGAAGGCCUGCGGGUUGUAGAGCACUUUCAGCGAGGAGGCGUUACUCGCAGAAGAAGCACCGGCUAACUCCGUGCCAGCCGCCGCGGUAAUAC